rnacentral:rRNA from 1 species
UGGGGAAUUUUGGACAAUGGGCGAAAGCCUGAUCCAGCAAUGCCGCGUGUGUGAAGAAGGCCUUCGGGUUGUAAAGCACUUUUGUCCGGAAAGAAAUCCUUGGCUCUAAUACAGUCGGGGGAUGACGGUACCGGAAGAAUAAGCACCGGCUAACUACGUGCCAGCAGCCGCGGUAAUACGUAGGGUGCAAGCGUUAAUCGGAAUUACUGGGCGUAAAGCGUGCGCAGGCGGUUUGCUAAGACCGAUGUGAAAUCCCCGGGCUCAACCUGGGAACUGCAUUGGUGACUGGCAGGCUAGAGUAUGGCAGAGGGGGGUAGAAUUCCGACGUGUAGCAGUGAAAUGCGUAGAGAUGUGGAGGAAUACCGAUGGCGAAGGCAGCCCCCUGGGCCAAUACUGACGCUCAUGCACGAAAAGCGUGGGGAGCAAACAGGAUUAGGAUACCCUGGUAGUCCACGCCCUAAACGAUGUCAACUAGUUGUUGGGGAUUCAUUUCCUUAGUAACGUAGCUAACGCGUGAAGUUGACCGCCUGGGGAGUACGGUCGCAAGAUUAAAACUUAAAUGAAUUGAC